GGCAGUGUGGCAUAGUGGUAAGGCCCCGGGCUCAUAACUGAAAGGCUGCGGUUCGAUUCCCUGCUGGGACA